AGUGAACGCUGGCGGUAGGCCUAACACAUGCGAGUCGAACGGCAGCACAGUAAGAGCUUGCUCUUACGGGUGGCGAGUGGCGGACGGGUGAGGAAUACAUCGGAAUCUACUUUUUCGUGGGGGAUAACGUAGGGAAACUUACGCUAAUACCGCAUACGACCUACGGGUGAAAGCAGGGGAUCUUCGGACCUUGCGCGAUUGAAUGAGCCGAUGUCGGAUUAGCUAGUUGGCGGGGUAAAGGCCCACCAAGGCGACGAUCCGUAGCUGGUCUGAGAGGAUGAUCAGCCAAACUUGAACUGAGGAACGGGCCAGACUCCUACGGGGGGGAGCAAGUGGGAAUAUUGGACAAAGGGGGGAAGCCUGAACCAGCCAUACCGGGGUGGUGAAGGAGGCCUUCGGGUUGUAAAGGCCCUUUGUUGGGAAAAAAAAGCAGCAAGUUAAUACCCCGCUGUUCUGACGGUACCCAAAGAAUAAGCACCGGCUAACUUCGU
rnacentral:rRNA from 1 species